GCGAGGAUUUCAGAUCUACAAACCUUUUCACGAGUUAACUCUCCUAACUCCGUAGAUCUGAAGUCAAAGUUCGGUCUUCGUCAAACUCCGGCGAGCUUUUCCGGCGAAACCGUGGACUUCCGGCGAAAACCGACACCACCAUGGAGUUCCUCUCUUCGAGCUCUACGCCGUGGUGUGGUGGAUUGCAUGAAUCCGAUGUCGGCUCCGUCGUCUUCCCCAACUCCGGCGAGCUUUUCGGCCGCCAUUGUUCAUCUUUGGCUGAAGGUGAGCACACCAUCUUGUUCGUCUCGUCGAUAUCGUUCCAUUUUGCCGUUCAUGCGCGAGAUCGGACUUCGUUUCCGGCUUUCCCAUCUUCCUCUCUCUUUCUCCUGUUCCUGUGCCGUGACCAUGCUCCUGUUUCUCCCGUUUCUGUUCGUGCGCACGCGUUGUGCUCCAGCACCGGCCGUGCGCCUGGCUCCUAGCCGGCGACCGCCGCCUGCACCACCCACCCGAAGCCCCGCCGCACCGGAGCCCCGGCAGGCCGACGGCCAGGAGCUGCGCCAUGCUCCUGGCGUGAGGAGGAAGAUGAGGCGCCACUUUUCAAUCUAGCCCCUGGAGAAUCUGUUAAUUUUUGUUCAUAUUUCUUGUGUCUUUCAAACCUUGUAGAAAACCCCCUGUAACUUUCAGUUCCUUGCAAUAUGAUCCAAGCCAUCCUCUUUUGCAGAUCUAGCCCCGAAGAUCCAUCUAUUCGCAGUGACUAUUCUCUGAGUCUUGGUAAUCUUCUCAGCUAACCCUCCAAGUCUACGGUUAAUUACGUUUAGGCCCCUACAACCUUGUUUAACCCAUAGAUUCUACGUUUUAAUUCCGUUUUUGUCCGUUCAAGUUGCGUUAGAUUUGUAAUGAUGUAAAUUACACGUUAGUGGUAAUGUUUUCCUUCACACAUGUUUUUGAAAAUAAAAUUUAUAUUAAAAUUGAUUAAUGCCUGUCAAACGAGUUCUUCUCUAAAUAAAAUCUAUUUAGUGUUAAACAUCGUUUUUCAUAAUAAUUAUUAAUUUGAUUAAUGCCUACUUCAUACCCUCUUCUAAAUAAAAUCCAAUUAGGUUAUAUAUCGGUUUUUCAUAAACUAAAGUUAAUUGGAUUAAUGCCUAUCUAAAUAAUUCUUCCAAUUAAAAGCCACUUAGAGUUAUACCUCGGCGUUUCAUAAAUUAAAUUCAAUUUGAUUAAUGUUUAUUCAAUUUGUUUUCUAAAUAAAAUCUGUAUAGGUUAUAUCUCGAGUUUUCAUAAUUAAAUAUUAAUUUGGCUAAUAUAAAUAUAAAUGUGUUUUUAAUUUAAUCUACUUAGUUGAACUCGAGAUGUAAAGCUAUACGCUUAGAUGUCUACAUGUAUCUUAUUUUUAAAUUAAAUGUUUAAUUUGCAUAAAUUGUACUCAAAUAUGUAUAAAUAAAAUUGGAGUAAGCUUUACACCGUCUUUUCUUAUGAAAAUAUAAAUAUGACUUGAUUAAUUCUAACUAAGGAUAUUUCUCUAAAAUAUCUUUACAUUGCUUUUCUCAACUAAAAUAAAUAAAGCUUGUAGCUCUUAUCUUUCUUUUAUAAUUCAAAACUCUCGAUAGCUUUAUCUUUUCAACCAUAGUUCCGUUUUAAGCGUUCCUUACGUUCGCGUGACCUUAGAUCGAGCCUUGACGUUAGUACGCUCUUUUAAAGCUUUCCUUUUGUUUUGGUGUACUGCUCUUAGUUGUAUUUGUUUGCUUGCUUAUAUGACUGUGCCGGUGAUUGCUUCGAGUAGAAGGAUCGCUGUUCGAAAGCUUUGAAGAUUAAGAGUUUCAAGAGAGCAAGAGCCGAAGAGCAGUAAGAAGUAACUUGUCGCUGGAGAAAGGCAAGUGUGUCCUUGUGCUUUUGUCCCAAUAACUUUAUUUAAUCACUAUUGCAUAUGCUUGCAUUAAAUUUGAUGGGUCCUAUUAAGGUUUGCCUAGUUUUUAUGAUUAUUCCUUGCCAACCUGGGUUUACCUUUCUGUUGGGUAGCUACGCUUAGCUGCUAUACUUGGGUUAUGGUGGUUCUAAUGAACAACAUGGUGAACUUAUUCUGUUUAUGAUAUACCUUUUGUUAAUACAAGAUUACCAUAUUUAAUUGGAACAUGGAGCGACCACCCAGGAAAACAGUGCUACCACAAGACUAAAUGGCUCUGGUCUUGGCUGAAUAAUUAGAAACUCUAGUUUGGGGUAACCUUACCGAAAGGGCAAGAGGGGAGGCGUUGAUGGGAUAUAGCACUCGCUCUCUUGGGAAGUGGGCUUGGCUAAGACACUAUACCCUCUAGGGGACUGCUAUGUUUCGCUUCGACCUGAAACCUUAGCGGGUUACCACAUUGCUAGCGAAUCUUUGUAAAGGCCUCGUAGCGUCCCUAUGCAAUCACACCUCGGAAGUGUGGUAUUGUGCCUGAUCAGCACAAGCGUGGUUGGGUCUAAAGUUCUUUUGAACUUUUACGCGACUUGUGGGUAAAGAUGUGCAACCUCUGCAGAGUGUAAAACUGAUCGAUCAGCCGUGCUCACGGUUAAGAGCGGCCUGGACCCUCACAUGAGUAAUAUACUUGAAGAUGGAUUUAAAUUGUGGUUUAUGCUAUGGUUAUGGUUGUGCCAUAUGCUUAUGGCUUAUGGUUAUGUUUAUAUUAAUUGUGGGUUGGUAUAUACUUAUACCUUAGUAAUCAGGUGCUAAUAAAAUUUGACCAACUAAAAAUGCUUAAUGCAGUCAACCAGUCAGCCUUUCCUUGUUUAACCCUUGCAUUCAUAUUCUCCUCACACUUGCUGAGUACGACAAGUGCUCACCCUUGCUAUAAACAACGUUGCUCAGAAGAAGAAGCUGCUAUGAAGUUAUUGUGAAGAUGGUGCUGAGUCCUAGGCGUACGCAGCCCCAGUCGAUUGCCUGUGAAGUUUGGAGCCUCCGUUUCCAUAAUUAAGCUGUAUAUCUCUGAUGGUUUGUAAGUCUUUAUUUGUAUCUUUUUACGUGAUACUGUUGCUGUUAUUCACUAAUGAUGUCACUAUAUGUAUGAAACUUGAUCCUGGCAUACAUAUAGGUAGCACUUGGUUUUGCCUUUAAAACCGGGUGUGACAAUCGUUUUAUUGCCUAUGUUUGUAACAAAAGCACUGGAGCAUCUGAAGGUACGGGGCAGUCACUUAGCUCGUUG
rnacentral:lncRNA from 1 species